UAAAAAGCAUUAGGCAUAUAAAUGUAUAAAUAUAUUUUAUCAUGUACAGUACAAAAAUGGAACCUUAUGCAUGGGCCUUAGGAAUACAGGCUAGUAUUUCAGCACAGACUUCCCUGCUUGAGUUCUUGCUGAUGCUUGCACCGUGACAGUGGGCACCAACACAGACGUGCCACCCAACCCCCUGCACACACCACCGGCCACCAGGGGCCCCCUUGUGCGCCUUGGCUUUAUAACUCCUCUGGGGGUGAUAUUGGUGGUGAUCACAGCUCCUAGCAUAAUGAGAGUUCCAUUUGGUAUUGUCACACGUCUCCUGCCUCGCUUGGGUUGCCAUGUUUGAGCGAUGGCCCUGUUGAUUUCACCCUGCCUUUUACUGAAUCUGUAAAUUGUUGUGCAAUUGUGGUUAUAGUAGACUGUAGCACAUUGCCUUUUCUAAACUGCUACAUGUUUAUAAUCUUCAUUUUUAAAGUAUGUGUAAUUUUUUUAAGUAUGUAUUCUAUUCAUAUGGUCUGCUUGUCAGUGAGCCAGACUUGCUUACUAUAUUCCUUUAUAAUAAUGCUAGCCACUUCCUGGAUUCUUUAGUAAUGUGCUGUAUGCAAGAACUUUCCAGUAGCAGUGAAGGAGGGUUGCCUCUCCAAGCUUCCUAAGGGAUGCUGCCCUGUGUGGGGAUGCAUUGCAGAGGCACUAGUAGCAUGGGGGCUAGAGUGGGGAGCGAGAUGUAAAAGGGUGGGGGGAUAGGAGAAUUCCAGAGUGCUUCCAGCAUUAGGGUCCUGAGAACUUCUGAGUUCAGAGAAACAUGCAAAGUGACUAACAAAAUAGCUACUUACCUUUGCAGUUUUACAGACCCUGGGAGCUGCUUUGGGAGUGAGAAAGGCAACCCUCCAAUGUGUUUCAACUUUAAAAUGUUGAAUUCUUUUCAGACAUGGUAUCUCAUUUAUUCUCCUUUUCUAGCGUUUGUUGAAUUUCAGGCAGAAUGUCUUACAGAAUGUCCUAGAACCAGAUUAUCAUUUAAUCUGAAACAGCUGAGGAAGGGACAGAGAAGGUACAAGGGCAAGGCAGCACAAAACAGAUCAGGAGAAUGAAGAGGGAAUGCUUUGGUUUUUUGUUUUGUUUUGUUUUUUCUUUUUCAAGUAACUAAAACAGCAUCUACAUGUAGAGUGUUGUGGAGAGCUGAGACCAGGGUAAAGUCAAGUGCAGCAUCAGUACUGCGAGACCCACCAGCCCCUGGAGAGGGUCAGCCGAGAAUCUGGUAGUGAAGCCUGUCUAGGGUCCCGGCACCCUCACCCUCAGCCACCUGCAGAGAGGCCAGGGCCCCAGAGACUAGCCUGGUUCUGAAGUGGGCAGGGGUGCUGCCAGAGCCCUCUGCCCCUUAUGUUGAGACCCUGCUUUCAGGACAGGCCAGCCGUUGGCCACCAUGUCACAUUCUGAGUGAGUGUCACAGGUCCCUAACAAUAAUUUUCUGAUCUGGAGCAUAUCAGCAGAAUGCUUAGCCUCAAGGGGCCUGGCAGCUGUAAUGUUUGAUUUAUGAUGAGAACUAUCCGAGGCCACCCUUGGCCUCUAAAUAAGCUGCUCUAGGGAGCCGCCUACUUUUUGAUGAGAAAUUAGAAGAGUACCUAAUGUUGAAAACAUGACAUGCGCUCUUGGGAUCUGCUGUUCUCUCCAGGGCUCCAGAACCUGAUACCUGUUACCAAAGCUAGGAAAGAGCUUUAUCACAAGCCUUCACUGUCCUGGCAUGAGAACUGGCUGCCAGGCUCAGUGUACCCCAUUAACUGUGAAUGAAUCUGAGCUUGGUUUCCUUUAUUGCUUCCUCUGCAAUAUGAUUGCUGAAACACAUUUUAAAAAUUCAGAAGCUUGUCACUCCUGUUAAUGGGAGGAUCAGUCACACAUGUGUAGUACAAGGCGGACUUUGUGUUUGUUUUUGGUGUUAAUUUUUAGCAUUGUGUGUGUUGCUUCCCCACCCUGAGGAGAGGACACCAUGGCUUACUACUCAGGACAAGUAUGCCCCGCUCAGGGUGUGAUUUCAGGUGGCUUCCAAACUUGUACGCAGUUUAAAGAUGGUGGGGACAGACUUUGCCUCUACCUAGUGAACCCCACUUAAAGAAUAAGGAGCAUUUGAAUCUCUUGGAAAAGGCCAUGAAGAAUAAAGCAGUCAAAAAGAAGUCCUCCAUGUUGGUGCCAAGGACUUGCGAGGGGAAAUAAAAAUGUUAUCCAGCCUGACCAACAUGGAGAAACCCCGUCUCCAUUAAAAAUACAAAAUUAGCCUGGCAUGGUGGCGCAUGCCUGUAAUCCCAGCUACUCUGGAGGCUGAGGCAGGAGAAUCGCUUGAACCCAGGAGGCGGAGGUCGCAGUGAGCCGAGAUCAUGCCAGUGCACUCCAGCCUGGGUAACAAGAGUGAAACUCCGUGUCAAAAAAAAAAAAAAAAUGUUACUCAUCCUCUCUGAAAGCAAAAAGGAAACCCUAACAGCUCUGAACUCUGGUUUUAUUUUUCUUGCUGUAUUUGGGUGAACAUUGUAUGAUUAGGCAUAAUGUUAAAAAAAAAAAUUUUUUUUUGGUAGAAAUGCAAUCACCAGUAAAGAGGUACGAAAAAGCUAGCCUCUCUCAGAGACCGGGGAGGCAGAGUACUACUAGAGGAAGUGAAGUUCUGAUGGAAUCAUGCCUGUCAAAUGAGGUCUUGAAGCGGAUGCCCAAAUAAAAGAGUAUAUUUUAUCUAAAUCUUAAGUGGGUAACAUUUUAUGCAGUUUAAAUGAAUGGAAUAUUUUCCUCUUGUUUAGUUGUAUCUGUUUGUAUUUUUCUUUGAUGAAUGAUUGGUCAUGAGGCCUCUUGCCACACUCCAGAAAUACGUGUGCGGCUGCUUUUAAGAACUAUGUGUCUGGUCACUUAUUUCUCUAAAAUUAUCUCAUUGCCUGGCAAUCAGUCUUCUCUUGUAUACUUGUCCUAGCACAUUAUGUACAUGGGAAAUGUAAACAAAUGUGAAGGAGGACCAGAAAAAUUAGUUAAUAUUUAAAAAAAUGUAUUGUGCAUUUUGGCUUCACAUGUUUAACUUUUUUUAAGAAAAAAGUUGCAUGAAUGGAAAAAAAAAUCUGUAUACAGUAUCUGUAAAAACUAUCUUAUCUGUUUCAAUUCCUUGCUCAUAUCCCAUAUAAUCUAGAACUAAAUAUGGUGUGUGGCCAUAUUUAAACACCUGAGAGUCAAGCAGUUGAGACUUUGAUUUGAAGCACCUCAUCCUUCUUUCAAUGCGAACACUAUCAUAUGGCAUUCUUACUGAGGAUUUUGUCUAACCAUAUGUUGCCAUGAAUUAACUCUGCCGCCUUUCUUAAGGAUCAAAACCAGUUUGAUUUGGGAAUCUUCCCCUUUCCAAAUGAAAUAGAGAUGCAGUACUUAACUUUCCUUGGUGUUUGUAGAUAUUGCCUUGUGUAUUCCACUUAAAACCGUAAUCUAGUUUGUAAAAGAGAUGGUGACGCAUGUAAAUAAAGCAUCAGUGACACUCU
rnacentral:lncRNA from 1 species